rnacentral:rRNA from 1 species
GACGAACGCUGGCGGCGUGCUUAACACAUGCAAGUCGAACGGAAAGGCCCUGCUUUUGUGGGGUGCUCGAGUGGCGAACGGGUGAGUAACACGUGAGUAACCUGCCCUUGACUUUGGGAUAACUUCAGGAAACUGGGGCUAAUACCGGAUAGGAGCUCCUGCUGCAUGGUGGGGGUUGGAAAGUUUCGGCGGUUGGGGAUGGACUCGCGGCUUAUCAGCUUGUUGGUGGGGUAGUGGCUUACCAAGGCUUUGACGGGUAGCCGGCCUGAGAGGGUGACCGGCCACAUUGGGACUGAGAUACGGCCCAGACUCCUACGGGAGGCAGCAGUGGGGAAUAUUGCACAAUGGGUGGAAGCCUGAUGCAGCAACGCCGUGUGCGGGAGGACGGCCUUCGGGUUGUAAACCGCUUUCGCUCAUGACGAAGCUUUGUGUGACGGUAGUGGGUAAAGAAGCACCGGCUAACUACGUG